AGUGAACGCUGGCGGUAGGCCUAACACAUGCAAGUCGAACGGCAGCACAGGAGAGCUUGCUCUCUGGGUGGCGAGUGGCGGACGGGUGAGGAAUACAUCGGAAUCUACUCUGUCGUGGGGGAUAACGUAGGGAAACUUACGCUAAUACCGCAUACGACCUACGGGUGAAAGCAGGGGACCUUCGGGCCUUGCGCGAUUGAAUGAGCCGAUGUCGGAUUAGCUAGUUGGCGGGGUAAAGGCCCACCAAGGCGACGAUCCGUAGCUGGUCUGAGAGGAUGAUCAGCCACACUGGAACUGAGACAAGGUCCAGACUCCUACGGGAGGCAGCAGUGGGGAAUAUUGGACAAUGGGCGAAAGCCUGAUCCAGCAAUACCGCGUGGGUGAAGAAGGCCUUCGGGUUGUAAAGCCCUUUUGUUGGGAAAGAAAUCCAGCUGGCUAAUACCCGGUUGGGAUGACGGUACCCAAAGAAUAAGCACCGGCUAACUUCGUGCCAGCCGCCGCAGUAA
rnacentral:rRNA from 1 species